rnacentral:misc_RNA from 1 species
GUUGACUAAAAAUUCUAAAUCCGCCACCAAAGCUGACACCGUAAAAUUAGUGCAAAGUUAGCGACAACAGCGGCGCACCACCACCAUUGUAAAAUGUGUAUGAGGCGGUGAUAAGCACUAAAGAUGAGCUUUCCGUUACAAAAUUAUUGAAUAGAAGCACUUGUCAGGUACCCUAUAGCUGAAUCGUUGCUUCCUUGCAUGUCUACUGUGUGGGAUAUGGCGACUUGGUGAUUCUGCAACUAGGUGUUCAAGUACCCUACAGAACAGAAGGAUGAAUAGUUUUUUAGUUGCAAGUCUAAACAUAUACAAAUGCAUAGAUAUAACAAAACAAAAAUGUUCCAAUUGCAUGCCAGUUUCACUUUGAAUUCUUGCAGAACCGGAUGCAUAGUUUUCACCUUUGAGUAGUUCUAAGCCCUUAGCAAUUAGAAAUGAUGGCAUGAAGUUGUCAAUGCCCAAGAGUUAUCACCUGCACAUGCAGGUAUGUAGCAAGAAAAUUUGUUCAUUUAAUUAGCUGCACUUUGGAAUUUGGAUCAAAACAUUAAAUGGUUCAACAAGCAAGACUAAAGAUAGUUUAAGAGUUUCUAGCAAUGACCAGAGAUUGUUUGUAUUAAGAAGCAGUCAUUGUGUAGUCACAUUAGGAGGGAAAAGCAAGAGCUAUUGCCUUGUUAUGUAGGGCCGAAGCUUCUUCAUCAAAGGAUAUCC